rnacentral:ncRNA from 1 species
UAACCCGGGGAGCUUGAGCGUCAUCAGGCUGAGAGGAGACUAAAGGUUGUCUCGACCCGUAGACCUGAUUCGGAUAAUGCCGACGUAGGAAGCAG